rnacentral:rRNA from 1 species
AACAAACGCUGGCGGCGUGCCUAACACAUGCAAGUCGAACGAGAAAGUCGGUUUCGGCCGAUGAGUAAAGUGGCGCACGGGUGAGUAACGCGUGGAUAAUCUACCCUUUAGUCCGGAAUAACUUGCCGAAAGGUGAACUAAUACCGGAUGACAUCCCGGGUUCUCCGGAAACCGGGAUCAAAGAAGGCCUCUGCUUGCAAGCUUUUGCUGAAGGAUGAGUCCGCGUACCAUUAGCUAGUUGGUGGGGUAAUGGCCUACCAAGGUUAUGAUGGUUAGCUGGUCUGAGAGGAUGAUCAGCCACACUGGAACUGAAACACGGUCCAGACUCCUACGGGAGGCAGCAGUGAGGAAUAUUGCGCAAUGGGGGGCAACCCUUGACGCAGCAAACGCCGCGUGAGUGAGGAAGGUUUUCGGAUUGUAAAGCUCUGUCGAGCGGAAAGAAAUGCACGAUGGCUAAUAUCCAUCAUGCUUGACGGUACCGCUAGAGGUAAGCACCGGCUUAACC